UAUCCGUAUGAUAUUUUCUCGUUGUAUUUUGAUAAAUUAAUAAUUGCAGAGAUAACGCAUUUCACAAACGAAUAUGUGAAUCAACACAAUGCUGCCAUUAACGUCACGCCAGUGGAAAUACGGAUGGUUCCGUUACAUGCUUCUUGCAGCUUCCGAUAGUGGCUGACGGCUACAAAACGCAAAUACACACGCGAAUAUAUACAAAGCCCAUAUUAAAAAAUGAGCAGCACUUAAUAUAACACAUACAUACAUGCACAUAUUCUGCAAUGAAAACGAGAUAGAAGUAAACACAUUUUAACAUCCGUGUCACAUUUGACAAUCCAGAUUUGGUGGCGAGAGAUUACAGUGAACGGGGCCUGAAGGGGGUUGAACAUUUGACUUGUAGCUUUUCCACUAAAUACAAAGCUCCGACAAUACACCUAUUUCAUGCCGCACGUGCCAACCUCUAGCAACGUCCUGACACUUCAAACGAGCUUUUAUACAGGCAAAUGUUGGAUUGUAUACUUGCGCUACCUAUUUGGGUUAAUAAAUGAUUUUUGUUUUAUUUCAGUGAUUUUCCGUAAUUUCCUCAGUGAUUUUAAGUGAUACUGAAAGCUGUAAAUUCAGGAGAGUAAUCAUUAAUACAUACCAAUAAAUAUAUGUAUAUAUAUAUGUUAUUGUAAAUAUAUAUUUAUAGAAGUGUGUUUGUUUGCUGAAAAUUGGUGUAUCGUUGCUGCCACUAUUUAAUCGUACAUCGUUACCGAUAAGAUUUCAUCAAUAAUUCCGACAAACUGUCGAAGGCGUGCUGAGGGGGUGCUAGCAUAGGGAUUUGUACUUUGUCAGGAUGACUGACGUGCGGAUGUCAAUUGGGGCGAACAUAAUAUUGCCGAUUAUAUAUCAUUUCUAUUUCACGCGCUUCACCCGUAAUCAUAAUCGGCCUCCUGAGCGUGCUAUUCGCAACAUGAUCUUGAGAUCCAGCAUUCAUUAUUGGAUAAUAUUCGACAGCAUAGACAUCAUAGACAUCAUCAAAAAUGAUGCGGGUGAGAACGUAACUUCCAAUGGCGAACGUUAUCGCGCCACGAUAACCGAAUAUUUGAUGCCUGAAACUGAAGUUCGUGAUCCCGGCGACAUUUGGCUUUAACAAGACGGAACCACUUCCCGCAUGCUGUUGAGAGAACACUUCGAUGAGCAGAUAAUUUAACGUUUAAGACUUUUUCCUGUAGAGAUGUGCAAAGUCUCAAGUUUCAAAACAUCACGCAUGUCAAUCGCCAGUUACCAGUCGAAAUGCUCGAACAAGUCAAUGAAAAACGGAUUCAACGAAUUUUAAGACGGAGCCAUAUCCAUCAUUUAAAAAGAGAUACUAUUAAAAAAAUAAAUGCCAAAGAAUGUUCUUUCGAAUGAAAAUAAAGAUUCUCAAUUAAAUUUGAA